rnacentral:misc_RNA from 1 species
GAUGAAGAACGUAGUGAAAUGCGAUACUUGGUGUGAAUUGCAGAAUCCCGUGAACCAUCGAGUCUUUGAACGCAAGUUGCGCCCGAAGCCUUUAGGCCGAGGGCACGCCUGCCUGGGCGUCACACGCCGUUGCCCCCCCGCGCCUCCCUCGGGAGCGUCGGGGGGCGGACGAUGGCCUCCCGUGCGUCACCCCGCGCGGCUGGCACAAAUGCCGGGUCCUCGGCGACGAACGCCACGACAAUCGGUGGUUGUCGAACCUCGGUUGCCCGUUGUGCGCUUUCGUCGCGCUCCGAUCGGCCCGCGACGCUCCCCGCUCCGCUUCGGCCGAGCUUUCAACGCGACCCCAGGUCAGGCGGGGUUACCCGCUGAAUUUAAGCAUAUCAUAAGCGGAGGA